AUGACGGGGACAGGGGGCCCCACCGGUUGUUAUAUUACUCGAAAGACUCGGCAGUCAUACAGGGUUUUUCAUCGAAGAGAUAAAAAACUACAAGCUAAGAAGAGAAAAACCAAAAAGAGGGGGGAGGGCGAGUUACAGGACCGAAAGGAAAAAAGCGCGCGUCUCCAGGAGAAGCUCGCGAUCAGGGGCGUCGUAGCGGCGGCUCCACAGCAGCAGGUCAUCCGCCGUCCUCAAGAGGAUGUCGCAAGCAUGGCAGUCGAUGCCGUUGAACGUGGCGUUGUUCCGGGCUUUCCAAAUCUGCCAAAGCAGCACAAGGAGCCCGUCCUUCCAUGGCGCAGCCAAGGUCAAAGGCUCCCGGGAGCGAGGAGAGAACCCCGUCAAUCGAGUGGAAGGGGCCCAGCCCAAGACGAUCCCAGGUGA
rnacentral:rRNA from 1 species